rnacentral:lncRNA from 1 species
UUUUUUUUUUUUUUUUUUGGGUAUAGGUUUGUUUGGAAUUGGGAAGGCAUUUACAAAAAUCAUGCCGUCCGAGCCAAGAAGAAAAACUUCACAAGUUUUCUUUUACGUUCCAUUUACAUGUAUAAUACUAUAGUUCCACUUAAUUAAUGAUUUGCUAGGUCGCAACACUUGCUUAUCCCAAGCAUUGUUGUGGUACGCACCUCUCUGCUAUUUGUCACCUUAUCUUCGUAUUUGGGAGUGGAAAAAAAAAAAAAAAAAACUUUCUUUAGUUCUUUCCAUGAGACAUGUACAAGAACAUCUAAGCAUGGAAAACUAGUUUCAAGAAACAAAUAUGUACACAUAUAGAAGGCGCAUAAUUAACUAUCUGAGAGAGAGAGCAGAGAUUUCCUGUGAGAGAAAUAUUCUAUUCUUUUUUCAACUAAUACCUUUAACAUUUUUUUUUUAAAUAUCCUACCCAAUAUAGGGGAUUGGUUUUCAAGCAUUCGAGAUUUCAUUCAAAAAAGGGUUUUUUUUCCCUUUCCUUAAAAAAAAAAAAAAGAAAGAAAAAGAAGAAGAAGAUUGCUGCUUUGUUAUUUUCGGAUUAGAAAAAUUCACUAAUGGUUUCGUGCAGUCUUAAACUGUUCUGAAGCAUGUACAAAACUGUUGGCUGUCUAAACUUAGUUUCCGGAAAGAGCAAUCUUAACAUUUAUUACACACAAAAAAUUCUGAUCUCGAUGCAUCUCCCAAAAAAAUAUUCACAUAUUAGCUGUACUGUUCUGAAUUCAGCAAACCGUAGCGUUUAUACUACCAUCAAAAUAGAAAGAUAGUGAAUGAACUUUCGGCACCGUUUCCCCUUCGACAAGUUAUGCAAUGUUCAUGUUCAUUCCGGCAGAAGCCAACAUGCUUGGAUCCUGGUUUAGUUUAUGUGGUUGUUUACUAGUUGAAGAAUCUUUGACAUUUUAGUCAUGCUAUCAUUUCUUUACCUCCAAUCAAAAAAAAAAAAAAGGAAACAUUUGAUUUGGCGUUAUUCAUACAACAUUAUAGUAUUUUGAUCCAAUUAAGGAGUUUAAAGGAAUAAAUUUAGUACAAACAGUAGCAGUUCAGGAAGGAAGACAAUAAGAGUUCAUAAUAAAGGGGAGGAACGUGCAGACGUGCAAAUGCACUGUCAUUUUGCUUGUGUCCACUCUUCUGCGAUUCAAAACUACAUUUUGUGCAUUUUUUUUUUCUAGCUUAUUCUCUUCACGAAUAAAGCCCGUGAACUAUCAAGAAUCUGGUGAUGGUUCAAAAUAAGAUGAUUUUGGAAUAAAUCAAAUAAUACUCGAAACAAUGCCAUGUCUUAAGAGCGGCACCCAUAAGUACAGUACACUUUCAGUUCUGCAGAAGCUAUUCUAAUCAAUCUAAAUACUGGAGGAAGAUGUAAAGAUGCUUCCUCUUCGCCCAAACUCCAACAACCAGCACGAAAACUUAAGGUCCAUCACGUUGCCUCCUUUGUUUUACCCGAACAAACCAACCGACCCCGGCACCUUGUCUCCCCAAACCACAAACAACAAAUGGAGUUGAUUCCUCUGUUUUGCUGUCUCCUGUUCAAUCUCCGAUUUUGUUAUACGUCCAAUACUCCAAGUUGCUUCUUCUACAUUUCAUCAUUCCCUAUAUUCGUCGUUCCUUACUUUUGGUACUCUUGCUGCUUCCCUCUUCCAAGUAGUUUUUCCGUUAACUGGAAUUUCUCGUUUCGCCACUAUAUUAUAGGAUGCGUCUGUCGAGCACCUUGAAUGUCAACUGAAGCCAUGGUACAGAGGGGUACAUAGUCACAUUCAAGAAAUGAGCAUAGGAAAAAGCUAAAUCAACAUAUAUUAGACGAGCACAUCAAUAAAGAAAUUCCAAGUUCUUAGUCAUCAGCCUGAAAAGCAUUUGAAUGAUGUUUGCCACACUACGUGUAAAUUCUGCUUUUAAUACACACAUGUGCGACUCAGAAGCAUUUACGUGCAAACUAUGCUGAAGAUAAGGAACUUGAGAAAAAUCCAGGAGGUCACCAGGAAAUAUUACUCAACAUUUUCUUGGGACAAUAGAUACAAUGAGGCAACGUGAAGACUAUCCUAUUCUAAGUUCCCUGCCGAACUGUAUCUGUAUGCAGUGACUCACCAAUUAACGUCACUAUGAUCCAUAUAAUCUGCUUCCUUCACUUCUGGAAGAAGUACCUUUCCAGCAGAACACAUGCCACAAGGGCAACAAAGAAGCGUGAAUUGACCAUCCAGACCAUCAAGGAAUCAAGGCAUCAACUACCUGUCCAACAGAACCCACCACAAGGGCACCAAAGAAGCACUAAUUAAUUAUCCAGACUAACAAGACACAGUAUAGACAUUAAGAAAAGCAAAAUAAAACAAAUACAUAGACGGUAAGUUCCAUAAUUGAACCUUCAUUUCAGUGGUGGAAGGAUGAGGUUUUCCAAUUUAGUACAGCAAGGCGCUAAUAAAGGUAUGGAGAAAACAGUACUGAGCUUAUUCCAAGAAAACCCACAUUUUGGUCCCCUUGAAUUCUGAAAAUGCUAAUUUUACUGUCUCCAAUCAGGAACUUCCAUGCUUCACUUCAAAAACUUUUAUCUAAAAAUGUCAAUAUUCGUUCUACUAGAUACACUCUGUCGCUGUACAAUCCUUCUUGUGCAUGAAAUUUCUCCACUCACAACUAUCAAUGUCACUAUUCAUUUUUGAUUGUCUAGCAAUGCCUUGUAGAGCAAUGUAUACAUCACCAACUACAGAAGGUAAUGAAGUUUCAGCAAGAAAUUCAUGAACAACACCAUUUACUUCAACCCAACUACACCCAGGUUUUUUCUUUAUUUUCUGAUCCUUCAUCAUCCUCUCCAUCCUUGAAGCAGCUUGCCACAUUUUUUUAGAGCGAUACAAGUUCCAAAGGAGCACACAUACACCAUCAUCAUCAGGCUCCAGUUCAAGUACCUCUUUCGCUGCCAUUUCAGCCAAAGCCGAAUUAUUAUGUCCUAAACAAGAACUGAGAAAUGAUCUCCACAUAAUAGCAUCUGGCUUGAAGGGCAUGUCCUGAAUCAAUCCAACAGCUUCUUCAAGCAAUCCUGCUCGACCAAGAAGAUCUACCAUACACCCAUAAUGUUCCAUCAUGGGUUCAAAUCUAGGAGAAUUUUUCAAUCUUUCAAAGAAGUUCAGUCCCUCACCAACCAAUCCUGCAUGGUUACAAGCUGAAAGUACAGAAAGAAACGUAAUCUCAUUGGGGUGCAUCCCAGAUGCCACCAUCUCAUCGAAAAAAUCAAGUGCAUCCUUACCUCUACCAUGAAUUGCCAACCCUGAAAUUAUACUUGUCCACGAAAACAAAUCCCUAUCUACCAUCCUAAUGAAUAUAUUCUCAGCUGAAUCAAGGUUUCCAUUUUUUGCGUACAUAUCAAUUAAUCCAUUAUUUACAGCAACAUCCAUGCUAAAACCAGCUAUCUUGUUAACAUACCCAUGAAUAGACCUCCCAAAAUCAAGAGCUCCAACAUCAGCACAACCUGAGAGCACGGCAACAAUAGUAAUAGUAGUAGCAUUCUCUCUACCUCCAUCCCUCAUUCUCCUAAACAACUGCAACGCCUCAAUGGAAUUUUUCACACGUACAUAGCCAACUAUCAUCGCCGUCCAAGAAACCACAUUCCUCUGCGGCAUAUCAUCAAAAACCUGACGUCCAGCUUCAAUAUCACCACAAAAAAUAAACCCAUUAAGCAAGCUAGUCCAAGUAGCCACGUCUCUGCAUUGCACACUCUCAAACACACGUCCAGCCAAAUGGGUUCUUCCACCCCGACUAUACAUAUCAAUCAGAGCAUUACUCACAAUUGUUUCCGGUUCAGACAAUUGUCUAUACACCAUGGCAUGCACUGCUUUACCAGCAUCCAAAUUUUGCGUCCGCGCGCAAGCAGACAGCGCAGCCAAGACGGAGUGCGCAUCAGGUCUGAGGGAAGUAGAGACCAACAAGUGAGAGAAAAGAGAUAAAGCCUCGGUGGGUUGUUGAGUUUUCAGGUAUAGAUUGAAUAGAGAAGUCCAGGAGACAAUGUCUGGGUCAGGAAUUAGAGCAAACACCCUGUGGGCUUCGAGGGGUUUGUUUAGUUUUGUAUAAACGUUAAGUAAUUUGCAGGCGAAGUGUUGAUGUUUCCGAGUUUGAGCGAAGAAGCCAAGGGUGGUCCAGUGAGCGUGGAUUUGCUUGAUCAAAUUCUCGUGGCCUUCGCAUUUGUCUAGUAAAUUUUUAAGGCCUGUUAUCAGCAGUUUUCUGUUGCCACGAGUCAUCUAUAGAUUUCAAGGACACUGGAAGAUGAAGCCGAGCUACAAGUGAAAUAAUAUAGACAGCUUUUCCCCGCAGACUUAGUUCUGCUGCGUAAUGAUCUUCCAGUGUUACUCUACCAUACGUUGUUUCCAAACCAGUAAACAGAGCCCUGUUGUUGUAUAAUUACUGAAGACAAACAUCCAGUAUCCAACCAAAUAUCCAGGGCAUAAACUCGAUAAAAAAUCAAUUGCGGCUUCGAACUUUUAUACCAUUUCUGCGGCCAAGAAGCAUCCAUAUUUUGCUGGUAGGUUAGGCGUGACCCAAUGCCAAUAAUGCAUGCAUUCGAGCAUUCGAGAUGCAAAUUCUAAGGACAGAGGAGGAGUGAAUGACGCGACCCGAUUAUCCAUUUAAAAAUAAUUACACAUUCAAAUUCAGUUUUAUUUUUCGUGAGUAUUAGGAGGAUAAAUUUAAAUUUCAUACUAAUUUAAUCACAAUAAAAUGUCCUUAUUUCUUGUCUCACAACAUAUGAAAAAUUUAAAAAGCAAAAAUAAAAUUUCAAAUAAUUAAUUAAUUAAAUAUACCAUACCCAUUAUUCACAAAUGGAUAUAAAUGAAUUGAUUCAUUUAUUUAUAAAUGAGUUAACUCAAUUAUACCCACUAUCUAAUUAUUUUUUUCCCCAAAAACGGUAAUAUAUUCAUUAUUCAAUUAUGAUCUGCCAAAAUCCACCCGAAUCACCCGUUUUAACACCUAUAACUUAUCCCAAGUACUUUUGCGGCAUAGAAUUGCUGUUUAUCUUCCUAAUAGGGAAUUGGGACAAAAAUACUUGACAUAUAUAAGAAGAUUUAAGCCUGGACAAGUAAUUUUCAAACAUCAGAUAUGUACACACACAGAAGCAUAAACAAACAACUGUUCAAAGAAAAAAAAAAGAACAGAAAAGGGGCAGGUACUCCGUUUCUAAUUAAGGUAACGACAUUUGAACAAGUUUUAACUCGCUGCUAAUUGUACAAUCUCAGAACAACAAUAACCAAUUUUGUUAAAUUCGGAUCGGGUAGCCACUCGGCUAAACUGCUGGAUCAGCGUCAACUGAUCAGAUCGGUCGGACCAUUCUAAAAAACUCGCUGAUAUUAGCAUGAUGUCAUAAUUAUUUUAUAUUUUAUAAGUUUCAGAAAUAUUGAAAUUAAGUUUUUGGUUAUAUUCAGCCAAUCAUACAAAAUGUUACAAAAAUAUUAGACUUGUAAUCAAAUAUACACUUAAUAAUUAUAUAUAAAAAUGUAAAUUCAUGACUAAAAUAUGUCCAUUUUUCAAAAUUACUUGAAAAACUAAAUUAAAAUAAUUUAAUGCAAGUUAGAAUCACUAAUGCUAGAUUGAUAAGAUAAUAGGGAUGAAACAUCUUGAUUUAGGUGGUGUUUGGUUCAUUCCUUGGAAUCAAAUUCAGAUUUUGAAUCAUUCAUCCUGGAUUUAGAAUGGAGUCAGUCAUUCCAAUACAUCUGUUUGGUUUAGUAACAAAAAUGUAUAUCAUUACUGUAAUUGAUGUUUGGUUCAUUGACUCUUUCAAAAUGGGAUAUAAGAAAUUUCUGCUAAUUAAUUGUAUUAGUAUAAAUAUAUUAGUAAAUUUAGUAUAACUAAUUAACAAUUUUUGUUAGUAAACAUGUAUAAUUAAUAAUAUAAUUGAUAAUAUCAAUUAUAUUAUAUAUACUUAUAUACAUUAUGUAAUACAUAUAACUAAUAAUAUCAUUAUUAUAAAUUUAUAACUAAUUAAAUUAAAUAUUAUAUAAUUAAAUAUAAUUAUACUAAUAUUAUAACAUAAAUAUAUAUAAUUAUAAUUAUAUAAUAUAUAAAUAAUAAUUAUGCUAUAUAUUAUAUAAUUAAAAUACAUAUUAGAUAUUAAAUAUAAUUAUAAAAUAUUAUUAAAUACACAUAUACUAUAAUUAUAAUAAUAAUAAUUAUUAUAUAUUAUUAUAUACACAUAUAUAUUAUAAUUAUAUACACAUAUAAUAUAUAUUUAUAAAUAGUAUAAAUAUAUUAUUAUAUAUAUUAUAAAUAUAUAUUUAUAAUAUUAUAAUAUAUUUAUAGAUAUAUAUUAGUAUAAUAUAUAUUAUAUAAUUAUAAUUAUAUUGAGUAUACAUAUGUGUAUAUAAUAAUUAUAAAUCUAUUAUAUAAUUAUACUAAUAUUAUAAUAAUAUUUAUUUUUAUAAUUAAAUAUUAUAAUUAUAAUAUAUAGUAUAUAUAAUCAUAUAUGUAUGUAGUUAUUUAUUAAUUUUUUUUAAUGGGUGGCGGAGAGGGACCAUUUCUAGAUAAGGAAAAAAAUUGCCCUUGCCCAUUAGCCCCCGCGAGACGGGUGCCCCAAUUGUCAUCCUUAGUUUUCAAUACAUUAGAUAGGAAUCAAACUUGGAUUUUAUCCAAAACCCUUUGGAUUACUAGGGAAUUGGGAAACUCUAAAUUUUUAGAUAUGAUUUUAAAAUUCCAAUUCCGAUAAUAAUAAUCCAAACAGCAAUUAUGAAAUUUAUUCUAAUUCUCCAUUCCGAAACCCUUUUACCAAACACCACCUUAGAAAUUAUUCAGGAAAGUGAGUAAUUUUGAUAUUUACACUAAGUGGAUGACAUUUCCAUAGUCAUAUUAGUAAAUGAAAGUGUUACAAUUUAAGUAACUCAAAUUAUGUUUAGGAGAAACAAGAAAGAAAAGUUUGAAAACCAAAUCAACCAAUCGAAUCGGAUCACUGAUUUAGGCACUUUUUGAUGAUUUUCACUAAUUUUUGACAACCAACUCGAAAAGAAAGUUGAUUCACGGUUGAACCGGUCGUUUCGGUCCGGAUCUAACAACACUGGCAAUAACAGCACUUUAGCAAUGUAAUAUUUAUUUAUGGUUCACAUGAGCCCCAUACAUGAUAAUUAUUUCUUUAUUACGAAAUUACACAAAUAGCUUAACAUGAGUUACAACCUCUUCACAAGAUAUUACACCAUUCUGCCCCUUUCCCCGAAAAGGACGAGCCUAAAUUCAUCCCAACCAACCAGACAAAAACCAUGUUUGUACUAGUUAUUUGACGACAUCCAGAAGUUCACAAUGUGGAAGACACUGAAAACAAGCAUUAAGGUGCCAAAUUCAAGCCAGAGCACACAUUAAGCAUUGAUUAAUAUAAAGUACUAAACUAAUGUUCCCAGAACAUUACGCCCUACUCUACAUUCACUCGCACAACCUUUUUCCUCCUCCCUUCUCCAUCUGGUUCUGCUGCUCCAGC